rnacentral:lncRNA from 1 species
CUGGGUGCGCGGUCGGGCGGGACUUUUCUCACGCUGCUCGGCGGGCUCUCUGCUAUGGCGCGGAAGUGGAAUCUCCCUUUUCUUCUCCUGCCGCUCGUUCUGGGUAUACCCCUGGUGCGGGGCUCCAACCCUCUACCCCUGGUCGUCAACACUUGGCCUUUUAAGAAUGCCACCGAAGCAGCACUGCUAUGGAUGUGGGAGCAGUGGGAGGCCUUAGAAGAAUUAAAAAUGCUAUUGGAGUGGCUCGGAAAGUCUUGGAGCAUACCACGCACACGCUUUUAGUGGGGGACUCAGCCACCAAGUUUGCUGUAAGUAUGGGGUUUACCAGUGAGGACUUAUCUACCAAUACCUCAAGAGCUCUUCAUUCAGAUUGGCUUUCUCGAAACUGCCAGCCAAAUUAUUGGAGAAACGUUAUACCAGAUCCUUCAAAAUACUGUGGACCCUACAAACCACCUGAUUUCUUAGAGCAGAAUAACCGUGCCCACAAAGAAGUGGAUAUCCACAGUCAUGAUACUAUUGGCAUGGUUGUAAUCCAUAAGACGGGACAUACUGCUGCUGGCACAUCUACAAAUGGUUUAAAAUUCAAAAUACCUGGUCGUGUAGGAGACUCACCAAUCCCUGGAGCUGGAGCCUAUGCUGAUGACAUGGCUGGAGCAGCUGCGGCCACUGGAGAUGGUGACACACUCCUGAGAUUUCUGCCAAGCUACCAAGCUGUAGAAUAUAUGAGAGGAGGAGAUGAUCCAGCCAGAGCUUGCCAAAAAGUGAUUUCAAGAAUUCAGAAAUAUUAUCCAAAAUUCUUUGGAGCUGUUAUAUGUGCCAAUGUGACAGGAAGUUAUGGUGCUGCUUGCAACAGACUUCCAACAUUUACUCAAUUUAGUUUCAUGGUUUAUAACUCUCUACACAAUCAGGCGAUUGAAGAAAAAGUAGACUGCAUGUAAUCUCUCUUGUCUGUCAACAU